ensembl:lncRNA
UUUUUUUUCCUGACCGCCUACACACAUACAUAAGCACAGCUGGUUAGCGGAGAGGGCAAUAGGAACUUUUCUUUAAGGGAGCGUGCCUUCCCCCUUCUAAAACCUAGAGACGCAAGGAAGUGAAGCGUGGAUUCACUGAAAACGGAGCUCACUGCAAACCACUUAAAACGGAUAGGCCAUAGAAUUUCCUCGGCCAGCGCCCCAUAGAGCCAACCCGCCUGCGACGCACAGGAUCCCCGGCACAGCACAAAAGAAGAAAAAGACACGUAUCCCACUCCCACCUUCGCGACGACGGACCGGGAGCUUCUACAAUUUUUGCAGCUACGCCUGCAACCUCAGUGGUGCGAACAGCCUGUUCGCCCCAAGGCCUAUCCAGGGCGAAAUAAUAUCUUCCAAAUGAGGCAAAACCGUGACGGAUCCGAAGCGUUCUCUGCGGGUGCCUGCGUCUCGGCGGCCGAGGCUUCCGUCUCCGCCUCAGCGCUUUUCUACCCACCACUUGCCUUCAUCUCUGCCUUGGAAUUUCUAGUUCUUUCCUUCGGUCUCCCUGGGUUGCUAGCACUGGCUUCGUGUUCGGCACUCGUAGGGAUCGCUCCCUCUUUCUCCCCUGCAGCUCUCUCCUCCUGCCUCAGAUCUCGUCUCCCCUAAGGCUUAAGUGUCUGUCGCCUUACAAACACCCUCUACAAACUUUCCGAUCCUCCCACGGGGUCCCAGACUGCAGGACCGCAAACGCAGAGGAGGUCCCGGGAGCUGACGGCCCGCGCCCUCCCAUCCCCGCCCGGCCCGGGGGCCCCUCCCGGCUGCACCCCACCAGCCCCGCCCGCUCGCACCUGGUCUCCCUGGCCCGCGCUGCCGCUGCUGCUGCCAUCUACGCGCGUCCCGGCUGGAGCUGGAGUUUUAAACCGCGUUUCCCGGGCGCAAGGCGCGGGGCCGCGCGCUCCCUACUGGCCCCCGUGGCUGCCAAUCACACGCCACUCUCGCCCCGGCCCCGCCCAGCCCCUCUGGAGUCAGCAGCUCAAGGCCUAGGCAGCCUGGGUCAAACCUUUAGAGGAACUAGGGACCCCGCCUGCGUCCAUCAUUUCCCCGAGAACGUCGUUCGGUCGUUGCUGGCUCCGAGUCUCGGGAUCUUGGGCGGUAAAGCCGCAGGUGCCACUGAUUCAUAAGAAGAGGUCUUUAUGCAGCAAGCUAUGGAACCAGACAAGGCCGUGUGUGUCUGAGUUCCCCACCUUGGACAGAAUAGAGGACCACUGGGCAAGCUGAAGGGGAAUGUCCUGUGCCAAAGAGGACAGAGUGGUUGAGGACCCACAGACUCCGUGCUGCAGGCUGCAGAUGAUGAGGAUCAGACCCAACUAGGCACCUGCUGUUGGAAGGAUCUGUUUGCCACCAAGUCCCCUUUCUUCUUAUCUCAGGCUGCAGAGACCCCCAUCAGGACAGUCAUCCGGGUCUGAAGAUGGUGGCUAAGUGGCCAAUAUCAUUCUCAUUAAACAAGUCAAGUCUCAUAUAACUCAAAAUUCCAGACACCUGGAGAAGCCCACAGUGCCAGGCUAGACUUACCUUCAAAGGGCUUUCACCUAAGAGGAUACCAGGGACAGAGGGAGCUGGCUGUCACUCCGCCACAUUCCUACCCUCCACCCUGGUUCCCAUAGACACUGUAGCCCAGGUCCUGGCUCCUGAGUUUACUAUGGAUUGGGGAGAGGAGCCGCAACAUUACAGAUGAGCUCACCUGCUCAGAUAGAAACUCCAGGAAAGAAAGAGGGCUGGGGAAAGGCCUUUGUGGGAGACCUGGAGUAGUGACAAGCUUGGCAAGCCACAAUAUGGGGGGUCCUACCGGUUUAACAAAGGCAUUUCAAAAAUGCCACUGUCUAGACUAAAACCAAGAAAUAAAAAUGGUUCAGGACCUUCCUCCCGGAGACCACUCCUACAGUCUCCUCACCCACCUACCUGCCCCAGGCUAUGGCUGAUAGACCUUCAAAGAGCUUAAGAGAAAGGCAUACCCAGAAAAACUAGGACCCACCCCCAAUAAAUUGACCUACUUCACUUGUA